rnacentral:rRNA from 1 species
CCUACGGGAGGCUGCAGUGGGGAAUAUUGCGCAAUGGGCGAAAGCCUGACGCAGCGAAGCCGCGUGAGGGAUGAAGGUCUUCGGAUCGUAAACCUCUGUCAGCAGGGGAGCACGGUCACUGUGCUAAUCAGCAGUGAAUUGACGGUACCUGCAAAGGAAGCACCGGCUAACUCCGUGCCAGCAGCCGCGGUAAUACGGGGGGUGCGAGGUUUAAUCGGAUUUACUGGGCUAAAAGCGCGCGUGGGCGGUCGGUCAAGUCAGGGGUAAAAUCCCGGCGCUCAACGUGGGAACGCCGUUGAAACUGGCGAACGUGAGUGGGUGAGAAGAUAGUGGAAUUCCAGGUGUAGGAGUGAAAUCCGUAGAUAUCUGGAGGAACAUCAGUGGCGAAGGCGACUAUCUGGCACAUAACUGACGCUGAGGAGCGAAAGCGUGGGUAGCAAACAGGAUUAGAUACCCGAGUAGUC